rnacentral:rRNA from 1 species
UCAGAGGGAGGUAGAAUUNCACGUGUAGCAGUGAAAUGCGUAGAGAUGUGGAGGAAUACCGAUGGCGAAGGCAGCCUCCUGGGAUAACACUGACGUUCAUGCUCGAAAGCGUGGGUAGCAAACAGGAUUAGAUACCCUGGUAGUCCACGCCCUAAACGAUGUCAAUUAGCUGUUGGGCAACUUGAUUGCUUAGUAGCGUAGCUAACGCGUGAAAUUGACCGCCUGGGGAGUACGGUCGCAAGAUUUAAACUCAAAGGAAUUGACGGGGACCCGCACAAGCGGUGGAUGAUGUGGAUUAAUUCGAUGCAACGCGAAGAACCUUACCUGGUCUUGACAUGUACGGAAUCCUCCAGAGACGGAGGAGUGCCUUCGGGAGCCGUAACACAGGUGCUGCAUGGCUGUCGUCAGCUCGUGUCGUGAGAUGUUGGGUUAAGUCCCGCAACGAGCGCAACCCUUGCCAUUAGUUGCCAUCAUUAAGUUGGGCACUCUAAUGAGACUGCCGGUGACAAGCCGGAGGAAGGUGGGGAUGACGUCAAGUCCUCAUGGCCCUUAUGACCAGGGCUUCACACGUCAUACAAUGGUCGGUACAGAGGGUAGCCAAGCCGCGAGGCGGAGCCAAUCUCACAAAACCGAUCGUAGUCCGGAUUGCACUCUGCAAUUCGAGUGCAUGAAGUCGGAAUCGCUAGUAAUCGCAGGUCAGCAUACUGCGGCGAAUACGUUCCCGGGUCUUG